CAAAAUCGCCAUUAAAUUUUAACGAAAUUCAUUUGUGGCGUUCGUAAAUGCUCAUCUGACAAAUAUUAAAAAAUGGAUUUGUUAUUUUGUGCUUGGGUACUCACUGGUGACCGAAUUAUUGAAGCCCUGAUUUUUCGGAUGUGAUAUUAUGUUAGGCGAGUAGGUUAUGGCGCAGAAAGUCAGGGUGAAUAAGGAAGGUCUGAAGUGUACUGUCUUCUGAGAUAUAUCGCCGUGUAGUCCACUGAAAGUCAACAGACGAUUCUGCUACCAUGACUUUCCAGAAUAUGUGGCAGGAGUGCUAUUUACUGUUGCCAACUAACACUAUGGAACAAAACUUAAAGUCGCUUAGCUCAUUAGGAUAUCUUUCCAGUCCCAUGUAUGGAACAAAAUGGUUAAUCGCCGUGUUUGCAAGAGCGCUUUACUUGUACCUGCUCCGAGCCAGAUGAAUCCAUCCCUCAUGUCAACAUUCUGUUCUCAAAAUCCAUUCCAAUAUUAUCCUUCCACAUACGCCUAGUUUCGCAAAAGCAUCGUUCCUGCACCUGCAGGAAGCGUAAGAUUCGUGGAAACGUGUAGUGGUACGUCUAGCGUUUGAAGUUGUAUAUGAAAACAGAUUCUUUAGGAGCCUUAUUGCGGAGCGUACAAUCGUCAUUUAGUUACCAUUUUAAUUGACAUGAGUUAUAGAAAGCGAGCUUUACUACAGGCUGAACAGUUUCAUUUCUGAAAAACGACCUCUAACUUGAAAACGGGUACAGAUAGUACUCUCUUUUUCCACAUGAAACCACGUUAAGAAUAGGCGUGCCUGGGCAAAUGUUAUACAACAGCAAACGUGGUGGUUUCGAUCUCUCUCUAUAUUAAAUAGAAAUAAAAGAGCAUGUAAAUAUUAUACAUUUCAUAUUUGUGCCUUAACCACACUGUGAACAGCUCAGGCUAUAGAGCAUUGAAUGGAAUAUCAUAUUUAUGUGUGGAUCAAGGGCCUACCAGGAGCGACAUUUCAAAGGAAGUUGAUGUUCUUAGGGAAGAAAUACAAUUCCUCA